GAAUUCGCCCUUAGAGUUUGAUCCUGGCUCAGGACGAACGCUGGCGGCGUGCCUAACACAUGCAAGUCGAACGGAGAUACGCGCUGAAUGACGAAGCUUGCUUUUGAAUUCUUGUGUAUCUUAGUGGCGGACGGGUGAGUAACGCGUGAGCAACAUGCCUUUCAGAGGGGGAUAACGUUUGGAAACGAACGCUAAUACCGCAUGAGACUACAGUACUACAUGGUACAGUGGCCAAAGGAGCAAUCCGCUGAAAGAUGGGCUCGCGUCCGAUUAGAUAGUUGGCGGGGUAACGGCCCACCAAGUCGACGAUCGGUAGCCGGACUGAGAGGUUGAACGGCCACAUUGGGACUGAGACACGGCCCAGACUCCUACGGGAGGCAGCAGUGAGGGAUAUUGGUCAAUGGGGGAAACCCUGAACCAGCAACGCCGCGUGAGGGAAGACGGUUUUCGGAUUGUAAACCUCUGUCCUCUGUGAAGAUAAUGACGGUAGCAGAGGAGGAAGCUCCGGCUAACUACGUGCCAGCAGCCGCGGUAAUACGUAGGGAGCAAGCGUUGUCCGGAUUUACUGGGUGUAAAGGGUGCGUAGGCGGCCUUGCAAGUCAGAAGUGAAAUCCAUGGGCUUAACCCGUGAACUGCUUUUGAAACUGUAGGGCUUGAGUGAAGUAGAGGCAGGCGGAAUUCCCGGUGUAGCGGUGAAAUGCGUAGAGAUCGGGAGGAACACCAGUGGCGAAGGCGGCCUGCUGGGCUUUAACUGACGCUGAAGCGCGAAAGCGUGGGUAGCAAACAGGAUUAGAUACCCUGGUAGUCCACGCCGUAAACG
rnacentral:rRNA from 1 species